rnacentral:rRNA from 1 species
GACGAACGCUGGCGGCGUGCCUAAUACAUGCAAGUAGAACGCACAGGAUGCACCGUAGUUUACUACACCGUAUUCUGUGAGUUGCGAACGGGUGAGUAACGCGUAGGUAACCUGCCUGGUAGUGGGGGAUAACUAUUGGAAACAAUAGCUAAUACCGCAUAAGAACAUUUACUGCAUGGUAGAUGUUUAAAAGGUGCAAAAGCAUCACUACCAGAUGGACCUGCGUUGUAUUAGCUAGUUGGUGAGGUAACGGCUCACCAAGGCAACGAUACAUAGCCGACCUGAGAGGGUGAUCGGCCACACUGGGACUGAGACACGGCCCAGACUCCUACGGGAGGCAGCAGUAGGGAAUCUUCGGCAAUGGGGGGAACCCUGACCGAGCAACGCCGCGUGAGUGAAGAAGGUUUUCGGAUCGUAAAGCUCUGUUGUUAAGGAAAGAAAUGUGUGUGAGAAG